rnacentral:rRNA from 1 species
UACAGAGGGUGCAAGCGUUAAUCGGAAUUACUGGGCGUAAAGCGUGCGUAGGCGGUUACAUAAGUCGGGUGUGAAAGCCCCGGGCUCAACCUGGGAAUUGCAUUUGAGACUGCGUAGCUAGGGUGCGGAAGAGGGAAGCGGAAUUCCCGGUGUAGUGGUGAAAUGCGUAGAUAUCGGGAGGAACACCAGUGGCGAAGGCGACUCCCUGGCCUGUUCUUGACGCUGAGGCGCGAAAGCUAGGGGAGCAAACGGG